GGGGCAUUAGCUCAGCUGGGAGAGCGCCACACUGGCAGUGUGGAGGUCAGCGGUUCGAGCCCGCUAUGCUCCA
rnacentral:tRNA from 2 species